rnacentral:tRNA from 1 species
UGGCUCAGUGGUAAAGCGUUUGACUCAAAUACAAACGGUCGUGUGUUCGAAUCACAG